UCCACGUCCACGCAGAGACGGCAAAGGGGUCUGCCGUCCCGUGGCACCAAAGGCCAGGCUGCCACCAGCACUCUGGGUUAUCUCCCCGGGCCUGACGUCAAUUCCAGGAACCCUUGGGACCAAGAGACUGACCAGCAGCAGAAGGAGACAAGAGCUUUGACCGUGCAGAGCCCCAAGUCGCCCCGGAUAACUUUUUAAAAUACGCAUUGGUUACAAUCUCCCAGUGGAUCCCCACUUCCCUGAGGGUAAAUUCUCGGUUCUCUAAGCUGGCCGGUCCAGAUUCUGAGCUGACCCAAGCACUCCCGGGAGCCCAGGCUGCCUCUGACACCCGCCACUGCCACGACCUGCUUCGGUGCUCUGAGCGCCUCGCGGCAGAGACUGGGGCCCUUCAACCACAGCCUGGAAACACGAGAGAGCCGUGAUCCGUCACCCGAAACCCUGGGCUCAGAUGCAUUUGGGAACACAGAACUUUUCAUUUGCAAAUGAUAACAUGACAUGACACUGCCAGUGGAUCUGGGGCAGCACCCUGUAAUCGGCCACACUGAAAUUCCCGCUGCACAGUGUGUGAAUAUUCGCACGAAGCGGCUAAAUAAAGCCUCGAAAUGUCCUCACAUCCUUUCGGGUCAGGCUUUGCAAGUCACUGAGCUCAGAGCAGGUCUGAAUUUUCUGCCAAAGUGAGGAAGAAAUGUGGGGUGUCAAGAGCCUUGGGAUUAUUUUAAUUAUGCAGAAAGGGUUGCGGAGCUGUGACGGCUGACAUUCCAUUAAUACCCAUGUUCCAGGCACUGCUCCAAGUUUCUAUACGAUGAUGCAUCAUGUAACAUAUUCUAUACAUAUUAUAUUAACAUAUGUUAUAAGUAAUAGUGAGAGAGUCUAUCUAUAAAAUCUCACUGAGUGCUCAAAACAAUCCUAUACACUGAGAGUCAUCACCUUAUUUUGCAGAUAAGGAAACUGGCAGGGAACACAGAAGGGGUGGGCAGCAGACCACAAACCCCACCCGUGCUCCACCCCUGUGCUCAGCCAUCACUGGGGAAAGGAAUCAAUGAGACCCAAGCGUGCGCGUGUUAUACUCAGCAGGGUGUGCGUGAAGCGGCUCCAAAAGAAAUGGCCGGGCUGGCCUUGUCAGUUCCCUGGGCUCGCUGGCCUCGAACCUCUUUCCUUUUUCGAGGCACUGCUUCUAUCCCAACUUAAAUGUUUACAGAAAGCACAUUCAAGCGGCCCACUUCUCAGACACAGGUGCCCGCCUGGUGCAGGGUUAGGCUUCUGACCCACGUGAGGGCAAACCCAACCAUUCCCUGGGACUUGGGACCUGGCAUCACAAAGUCAUCUUCUUUCUGGUGCCUGGACAAUGAAACAGAAACAUAUUUCAGAGGAAGACAAGGAACGACCACAAUGAGCCUAAACAGACAAAGAGAGCCCGGCAUAGCCUAGAGUGUAGCCGAUGUUUUCCACCUUUUCUUCUCUGUUUUUGUGUUUUGGUCAUGCCCACGGCAUGCAGAAGUUCCCUGGCCAGGAAUCGAACCUGUGCCACAGCAGUGACAACGCUGGAUCCUUAACCCACUGAGCCACCAGGGAACUCCUCUAUGUUUUCUUUUUAAAUAAAACACUGGCUGGCGCCCAGGAACUAGCAGGCCCAGUGGGGCUGCCUCUGCUGCUGAUACACAACUGUUUACUGCCAAGUCAAUUGGCAAUUAAAUUAUCCAACCAAGGCUUCCUGUGCACCUACUAUGGGCCAGGCGCUCUGCUAAGCAGAUGAUAGCAGUGAAAAGUAAAAUAAUCAAAGUGCGCGUGUCAUGCUCCAGGGAGGAGAUGGGGAGCAGAGAGGGUGUCGGCAGUAGGCUUAAAUCAAUUUGUAAUUGCACCUGAAGUGGAACAAAAA